CAUGAUUCCGCCUUUAAUUGUUAAUUGCAUGCUUAUUGAUGUUGCUUAAAUAAACAUGUUUUCACAAAAUAUUCCUUCAAGUGGUAUUAGAGCCUAGGUCUAGUAGUUGGUGAAUCCUUUUGGGUUUUGUAGUUCAUAGUUUUGAUUUAAAAGUUGUAAUAUGUUACAAGCUUUAUUCUUGUUUCUUUGAAUGUAAAUUUUGUUAGAAAAUUUUCCAUCUCAAAUGUUGUAGAUGUAGUUCAUAUGAGCAUGAAUAUUGGAGCUAAAAUUUGGUGCCAUGCUUUUGGGAAAAUUCGGCCAAAUACAUAGGGUGAUUUUUUGGGUUCUUGUUUGACUUGUUAAAAGUGUUUUAAAGUGACUUUUGGAACUCCUAUGUACCCUAGUUUGGUUAGAUGUUAUUUCCCUAAAGUUUGAAUGGUUUUGGAAUGUUUUUGGGUGAAAAAUGUUCAUGGAAAAAUUUUGGGUUUUUCAUGAGUGUUCUUCAUUGUUCUUGACAUUUUUGCCAAGAACAUAAAGUUUUGUGUUUUGAUUCAAAGUUUUGAUUUAUUUCAUAAAGUUUAUGUUUUAUGAAUUUUCAAAUGUUUAAAUGUUUUAGAUAUUUGUUUAAAUGGUGUAAGAAAUAUUGGUGGGUGUGUAAGGAUUAAUUUCCUUUCACACACACCACUUGCACCACUUGAUUGCUUUAUGUCAAAACUCACAAAUCAACACACACAUCACUCCAUUUCUUCUUCCAAAACCGGCCACCCCCUAGUGGGGGUACUUUUGGGGCCUUUUAUGCAAUUACAUAAAGUUUUGAUACUUUUGUGUAUUUGCACUUUGGCCCAAAAGUUUACGUUUUUACGUAUAGGUCCAAAAACGCUAAAGGACAAAUUGUUUUGCUCCUUUAAUGAAGUUUUUACAUUGUUUAAAUUUUGGGUUCUAGUGUAAUUACAUGAAGUAGUGGACUUUUGUGUUCUUACAAAGUGACCCCAAAAGUUUAUGUUUUUGCAAUAUAGCCCAAUGUUGUGGUAAUUGCAUUUUGGCCCAAAUUAGGUAGAGAACAAAAUGGUUUUGUCUCUUUAAAUGAGAAUUGGAUUUUCAUUUCAUUUAGCUCCAUUUAAAUCAAUUUU
rnacentral:lncRNA from 1 species